CUACAUCUGUGAGCAUGAAAUCAUGCCUAAUGAUUGAAAAGUUGAAUUUAACUCUCCUGUAGUUUCAGCUGUAAGGAUUUGUAAUGCUUCCUGCAGCCGGUUUCUUGGCUUAUCCUCUGGCAGUGUCCCAACAGCAACAGUGCAUUCUAACAUGUCACCAGGGUUUGUCAGCAGAAAUUUAGGGAAAAAAUCCCACCAGCAUUGCUCAUUUUAAUCUUUCAGAAGAGGUCAGAGUGCUGAGCAAUGAGGCUUAGAAGAGAAGAACAGAAACAAGGGAAGAGUGGUUAUUUGCUAUGAUUGAUGAAAAUAACAUUGCAGAUCCCAGCUUGAAUUUCGGGGACUUGUAGUAAAUCCAUGAAUCCAUCGAGUAUAUAAAAACCCUCACAGUUUUACAUGUUGCACUAUUUCAAAUUCAUGAGACCAUUAUUUUAUCUUCACCAGGUCCUGCCUUUUCAUACUGUCUGCCACACAAAUGAUCCAGAAACAGCUUACAAUUACCCAGGUCUCUGUGGUGACUAGGUCAUGUAAUCACACCUGCCUUCACUGUCACUGUGUAUCACCUUUCCCUUGUCUGCUAUUUACUUUGAUUUAGGUUCUAUUUAGGCUAUUUAUUUUACCUAGCUUCCCUUUCCUAUUUAUCUGCUGUCUACUGUCCAUAUCUUGGGUUAUAAAAUCCAGGGAGAAAAGUAACUUCCCAGUGAGUUAUACACUGCCACUGACUGUGAGAUUUACUUUUGGCUGGAGUCUCCAGACUGUCGUGUCACAUCAAAUAGCGAAAAGAAAAACACUAUGCAGGUCCAUCUGAAGGGUCUAGGAAAAAAACCCAAAACAUUUUCUAAAAGGUGAGCAGGACAGCCCAGAAGUCUGAAACCUCCUUUAAGUCAUGUUCUGACUUAUUACUCAGAUACCAUUCAUUUCUCUGCAGCACCAUUUAAUUAAAUCAGAUAGGAGAGAGCUGUUGGAUUGCAUCCACCCUCUCAGUGCCUUUCUUGGGCAUGAGAGUUAUUCCUAUCUUCUUUUGACUCCAUGAGAUGAAAGGUCACAUAGGGUCACCAUCUUGGAAACACACUGCAUUGUGGCAACACCCUUGCAGUGGUUCUCAAAAAAGCUAACACGUGAUUUAUUAGAAAGUAUAUCCUCUUUUCUGAGGGAACUUAUCCUAAAACCACCACAGAGUACAGGGCAGAGGUGAUACAAGGUUUGCUUCCUUACUUUUUUUUUUACUUUUUUUUUUUCUCCUAUGGACAAGCUGGUGAUCCAGGUCUUUGUUACUAUGAAUUUAGACUGUUGUACAUACUGGAGGGCUCAUCUGUGUUUCACCAUCCUGUUUUGCUAGGACUAUGCCACAGGAGCUGCCAUAGAAAGAGCAGUGCCAAAAAGCACUUCAGAAAAAGGGUAAUAAUGAUGCCUGUAGUUCUGUUUGUGCUGUACAGUCUAAAUCCAUACCAGGUACACAAGGCAACAUGAGGUAUCUCUUUAGAAGUGAUCCCCUUAUUCUCAGUUGUUCAGAUUGUUAACUGAAGGCUGGAGGGAAGGGUGAAGGCAGCAGCCCAAAUCCCAGGUUUCCGUGACUCAUUGCUAUGUCCUGGCCAUGUCCUCCAGCUGCUUCUAAGCAAGUACUGUUUUCUGCUGAGUCAUAGUAUUACAAGGCAUUUUCCCCUUGUGAUUAAUCCCUUCUUUAACCCAGAGAAGAAACAGCAAACCUGAUUUCUGCUCUCUCCUGCUCUGAGGAAAGUGCUUGGGUCAUUGAAAAUGUGGAUUCUCCUCCGUUACACAUCACCUUCCCAUUUUUUCCUGGCUCCUGCUCACACCCAGCUUUAUCUCUGAUGCAUGGAAACAUCCCUGGCUCCCUUAGGGAACCUCUAGUUAUCCUGCUUACUAUCCAUCUUAUUAACCAACCUCUGCCAGAGGACAGCUGUAAGUGUUUUUCAUGGGGAUUUUCUUCAGCGUGAGCUGCUGUGGCAGUAAAGUGCUUGUAGUACUCCUGAUGCCUUUGCUGCUCUUACUGUAUGUUGCAACAGCUUACACAGCAAGUUUCCAUGCCCUGUCACAUGUUAAAUCACUCUUGACAUCAGCUGAUAAGCUUUUCAGAGCCUGCAGCCCAAUCUUGACCAAACCAAGACAGGAAUAUGCGUCCUGAGCUGCAUUUUCUCAUUUGAAUGUUAUGAAACACUUUUGGACUCGUGACUUCUCUGGGCUGACCUUACUUCAUCUGCAGAGCAAGGCCACUGAGGAGCACAUCGACCUCCAGAGGCACGGAGCUCGAGGCACCCAUUGUCAGCUAUAGCAAACAGUAUGUGCUGAAGCUGGUCAGCUUGAAAAGCAAACCACGAGGCUCAAACCCUGCUUUUAAUAAACCAGGUGUCGUUAUGGGGAAGUGAUUUAUUUUUCUGUUUAUCAAGUAUUUGAGAGAGAAAAGACUUGGCUUUUUAUUUUUUUUGGCUGAGGUUCUGUGGGAAGCCUAUCCAGCUAAGCUUGUGAGUUCCCACGUUAUGAACUAAUACAGCUAAUGCUGCAGGACAUCAGUGUGUGUCAGGCACCCGAAGGCACCAAGCUCAUUGCAGUCUGGAGGCCUGUGUUCAUGGAAGGCUUUCUCACUUCUGACACUGGAGAGGGAAGGCAAAGUUACUUACAGUUAGAGACCUGUGGCCAGGGCUCGGUAAAAAGUUUAGAAUAUGCAAAGCAGCACAGGUAGAAAAUCAUGGUUAUCAAAAAUUAAGCAUUUGUAUACACAUUGGAGGGCCAUCACGGUCUAGUAGUACUUGAAACACAAUCCCUAUUUUCUUUUGUGCAAGGUUGGUGUCACAAAGCCAUUUGUUGUCUUUGUCUUAUCCCCCUGCUCUCUCCAGCCAGCCGGUCUUGACACAAGAACAGCUGUCACAACACUGCCGCCAACACAAAGUUAGGAAGAGGGGAUGUCGGGAUGUGAGCUGAAUCUACUGUAUCUGAGGUCUGGAGUAAAGUUAGCUGCUCAGGAAGAUGCAACAGCCCUUGCCAAACGUUGGACGUCAGAGGCAAGAACUUCAAAGCAAUGAACUAGUGUAAGAUGUCAUUGGAAGAUGCGUGUUGAAUGAGCAGAAGUUCCUGGGCAGCCUGGCAUUGCAGCAAGAUGAGCUGCUGCUGCUGCAGAGGAUCUUGGAGAACUGCUCAAAGUGCUGCUGCUGCUUUCACAUCCUGUUACAUCUUGAGAAACCUCACUCAGUCUCACUGAAAGUGAAUGAAGUUGUUUUGUUCUCCUUA